AGGAUGAACGCUGGCGGCGUGCUUAACACAUGCAAGUCGAACGGUGAAGCCCAGCUUGCUGGGUGGAUCAGUGGCGAACGGGUGAGUAACACGUGAGCAACCUGCCCCUGACUCUGGGAUAAGCGCUGGAAACGGUGUCUAAUACUGGAUACGAACAGUGACCGCAUGGUCAGUUGUUGGAAAGAUUUAUUGGUUGGGGAUGGGCUCGCGGCCUAUCAGCUUGUUGGUGAGGUAAUGGCUCACCAAGGCGUCGACGGGUAGCCGGCCUGAGAGGGUGACCGGCCACACUGGGACUGAGACACGGCCCAGACUCCUACGGGAGGCAGCAGUGGGGAAUAUUGCACAAUGGGCGAAAGCCUGAUGCAGCGACGCCGCGUGAGGGAUGACGGCCUUCGGUUGUAAACCUCUUUCAGCAGGACGAAGCGCAAGUGACGGUACCUGCAGAAGAAGCACCGGCUAACUACGUGCCAGCAGCC
rnacentral:rRNA from 1 species